AUUUCCCUCUGGCGGCAUGCUUUACACAUGCAAGUCGAACGGCAGCGCGGGCUUCGGCCUGGCGGCGAGUGGCGAACGGGUGAGUAAUGCAUCGGAACGUGCCCAGUAGUGGGGGAUAGCCCGGCGAAAGCCGGAUUAAUACCGCAUACGACCUGAGGGUGAAAGCGGGGGACCGAAAGGCCUCGCGCUAUUGGAGCGGCCGAUGUCGGAUUAGCUAGUUGGUGGGGUAAAGGCUUACCAAGGCGACGAUCCGUAGCUGGUCUGAGAGGACGACCAGCCACACUGGGACUGAGACACGGCCCAGACUCCUACGGGAGGCAGCAGUGGGGAAUUUUGGACAAUGGGGGCAACCCUGAUCCAGCCAUGCCGCGUGCGGGAAGAAGGCCUUCGGGUUGUAAACCGCUUUUGUUCGGGAAGAAAUCCUCUGGGCUAAUACCCCGGGGGGAUGACGGUACCGGAAGAAUAAGCACCGGCUAACUACGUG
rnacentral:rRNA from 1 species